GAUGACGUCGUAGUCGUCGCGGCUUCGCUGCUGCCAGCGCGCCAACCGAUGCUAGAGAAGAAACCUGGAACGAGGUAAGCAGAGCGCCGUGAUUGACGCGAUCAGUAGUGUACGAUGGGAGAAUGGAAAGCAGGCUACGAGCGAUGGAUAACGAUCACCAUGACGGAGAUGAUGCACGAUGAUUGGGUCUGACGUCGUUAACCCGGAACCUGGAACUAGGGAAGACUUGGAAAAAAAAUUAUGACGGAAUAAUUCAACAUACAUAAUGUGAUUGCGAUUCGUUACAUAAACUCCUGGAAUUAAAGGAUGGGUAGACAUCGAAAUUUGAAUUAUAUAGCUUCGAUUGAAAUCAAAGUUCCAGGGCAUUGAGGCGCAUAAAGCAUCGGCGAAGUUUCUUUUUCAAGACUAUGAUGCGACACAGGCCAUGCCAAAAACAUUCAGUUCUCAAGUUAGCGACAACGAGCAAAACAUAGGAGCAGGGUAAGCGAUGAGGUAAAACUGACUCGGAAAAAAUGGACAUUUAACCAUGGAUGAAAAAUGUUUGACUAUGUCUUGUGUUGUUGUCUAUGUAAGAGUAUUGAAACGAUUUGUAAGGUUAAUUCAGUUUUCGAAUUACGUUCGAAAUAUAAAUUCGUUACACUGGGUCGA